rnacentral:rRNA from 1 species
GAUGAACGCUAGCGGCAGGCCUAAUACAUGCAAGUCGAACGCUCAGUAGCAAUACUGGGAGUGGCGCACGGGUGCGUAACGCGUACACAAUCUACCUCUAAGCGGGGGACACCUCCUGGAAACGGGGAUUAAUACCGCAUAAUAUGCCGAAGUCGCAUGACUUUGGUAUUAAAGCAGCAAUGCACUUAGAGAUGAGUGUGCGUCCCAUUAGGUAGUUGGUGAGGUAACGGCUCACCAAGCCUAUGAUGGGUAGCCGGUCUGAGAGGAUGGUCGGCCACACGGGCACUGAGACACGGGCCCCGACUCCUACGGGAGGCAGCAGUAAGGAAUAUUGGUCAAUGGUGGAAACACUGAACCAGCCAUGCCGCGUGAGGAAUAA